GACGGCGGGAUCCGCCCCUGGCACGGGGGAGGCAGGAUAGGAACGGCCCACUAAGCUGCCACCGCCGUUCUCGCCUUCUUCGCUGACAUCAUGCUCCAAUUCCUGCUUGGAUUUACUUUUGGCAACCUGGUUGGAAUGUAUCUGGCUCAGAAUUAUGAUAUACCAAACCUGGCUAAAAAACUUGAAGAAAUUAAAAAGGACUUGGAUGCCAAGAAGAAGCCCCCUAAUCCGUGAGGCCCAUGGCAGCACUGCCCCGGGAGUCCUGAGGCUGCCCUCCCCCCGGCCCCUCCGCCACCCAAACCGAAGGCCUGCGUCCCACUGCGCUCCAGCCUCCGCCUCUGCUCGACCCCGCGUGGCCUUUGAGCACACAUGGGGCCACACGUUAAGAACUGUCCUUACUCUUCCAGCAUCCUCACCUCCUCCUCUCCUCCUUCCAGUUGCUUGAGAGGUCCUCAGGCUGGAAUUAUGGUGCUAGAUUAGUAAACAUGGCCUUUAAUUAGUGGUCUCUCCCUUAUUCUUUGGGACUUCUACUGCCUUUUUUCAUAAGAAAACUUGCUGAGUUUUAUAUAGGUGAUCAGAUAGGAAUAAUGCUGAUUUCACAGUUUAGCGAUUAUACUGGGUAUCGAAGCAUUUGGUACUAAAUUAUGUUUUUUCAAGGUCAUUAAAAUUAAAAUCUAAAAGCCAGUUUCUGGUGAAUUAUCCAUUUAUUUUAUACUGUUCUCAGUAUAACUGACAUACAUAACUCCAUAGUUGCUAAUUUAACCAAUAAGUCAAUUUGCUCCUCAUCAACUAAGAAACUGCAUUCUGAGAACCCUAUCAGAAACUGGGGAAUUAAAAAAUAUGUAAAGUAAUGGCCUUUGUCCUCAGUAGAUGUCAUAGUCUAGUAUGUGUGUUUUCCCUUAAUGAUAUAUUUGAUCUGGCGCUUUUCCCUCAAAACAAGAAUACUUAUUUUAAGGGAUUAUAGGUACAGUUGACAUUACAUGAUGAAUAAAUGAUGCCUUUUCACAUUAAAAAAUAUAUUUACAUUAUAACUUUAUAGUGAUUCUCACAAGAAAACUUUUUUCCCCUGCAAUCAGAAAUUAUCAUCAUAAUCUGUCAAAUGUAUAUUCAGUCCAUUUUUAAAAGUUAAACAAAAAUGUUUGACUAUAUCAGUUUCCUGAAAGUGAUUCAGAAUAAAGGACCUCCCCCACCGCACAGCUCCGAGGUCCUCUUCCCGGGGGCAGGCACUGUCCCCUGCAGACUGUCCGCUUCUGGGAACGAUUCUGCGCCUGAACAAACACGUGUGCAGUGGGGCUUUUUGCCCGAAUGAUAGCGACUGUACGUACUCUUUGCCUUGACCUUUUUUUUUCCAUUCCAUAUCAGUAUGUAAGGAAUAGGGAAUCUCUUUCCUUUCUGGGCUGUGUAAGAUUUGAUUGAAUGACUAUGCCAUAAUUUAUGUAAUCUCUUACUGAUGAAUAGUUAGGUUGCUUCCUGUCUCUUGCUGUUAACAUUGAUAACCCUGAAACUUAUGUUAUUCUACAGAUCCAGGCAGGGCGUAGUCAUAAGCUAAUGCCCUAAACCUGUAAUUUGCACUAAAUGUGAGUAAAGUCCCAUUCAUUGUGUGUUUUUGUUUGGGAGGGCCUGUUGGGCAGCUUCACUGGUAAUGCCAUUUCUGAGGACACUUUAGCAGAAUCAGUAAACUGGAAGAUUAUUUAGAGACACCUUGUUCCACACAGUGAUGACGCCGAUACUACAUAUACUUAUAAAAUGGAGUGAUUCUGCUUCUCCUUGAAAACAUGCAGCUCUCUGCGUGGAGGUGUGAUUUAUCCAUCCGCCAUCCUGGUGUGUGAGACGGAGUAGGGGCAUACUAGGGUUUGGCUUCCCUCCAGCAGGGUGAUCAUGGGCAAACAGCUUAUUUUUCUGAGACCGUUUUAUUCUCUGUAAUAUCUGGACGCAAUACCUACCUCAAAGGGCUUCCAUGAGAAACGACUGAGAUAAUGUAUGUGACACACAGUGCUUUGCAGACUUGCCCAAUAAAUGGUAGAUCUUAGUUCAAA